rnacentral:lncRNA from 1 species
CUGGAACUGUGGGAGCAGCACAGGGGAAUGGGCUUGUGGGUCUGGGGUGGCGUUCUGGGUGUGGCCCGCCUCGCAGUGACCACACUGAAGUGGGCACCGUCCUGCAGGCAGAAGGUGUGCCGUGAGGGCAGAGGCUUCCUCCCAUGGACCCUUCCUGGCGGUUACCGCCCUUUUGCUCCCCUCCACUGAGGACUCCCUGUUCCUUUGCUCCCGGUGCCCUCAUGCACACCAGC